CCUACGGGGGGCAGCAGUGAGGAAUAUUGGUCAAUGGGCGCGAGCCUGAACCAGCCAAGUCGCGUGAGGGAAGACGGUCCUAUGGAUUGUAAACCUCUUUUGUCGGGGAGCAAAAGACGCCACGCGUGGCGUUCCGAGAGUACCCGAAGAAAAAGCAUCGGCUAACUCCGUGCCAGCAGCCGCGGUAAUACGAAGGAUGCGCGCGUUAUCCGGAUUUAUGGGGGUUAAAGGGUGCGCAGGCGGAAGAUCAAGGCAGCGGUAAAAUUGAGAGGCUCAACCUCUUCGAGCCGUUGAAACUGGUUUUCUUGAGUGAGUGAGAAGUAUGCGGAAUGCGUGGUGUAGCGGUGAAAUGCAUAGAUAUCACGCAGAACUCCGAUUGCGAAGGCAGCAUACCGGCGCUCAACUGACGCUCAUGCACGAAAGUGUGGGUAUCGAACAGGAUUAGAUACCCGGGUAGUC
rnacentral:rRNA from 1 species